UUACCUAUUAUUUGAAGUUAGCCGCCAUGGUGAAAUUGGUAGACACGCUGCUCUUAGGAAGCAGUGCUUAAGCAUCUCGGUUCGAAUCCGAGUGGCGGCA
rnacentral:tRNA from 1 species